rnacentral:lncRNA from 1 species
GGAGGGGCAGGGCCCCGGGCUAGGUCCAGGCCCGCAGCUGGCAUCAGGGGGGGCCUGGGUGGGAAGACCGGUUGGGGUGGGGGUGCACAGACCCGGGGAAUCUGAGACGCAAGGUUUCCGGCUCUUGGCCGCUAGUGAGGAAGGCUCGAGGCCGAUCCUGGCCCAAAGCAGGGCGCCGGGCCAUUGUCAGUCCUGGGAAGGGGGAUUGGGAGGAGCCCCAGAGGGGCGGCCAUUCCCUGGGGCGGCGUGGAAGGGAGGCAGCACCUCCAGGCGACAAGUAGAGCUGGGCCCUGGCGGGCUGCCACGGGGGUGUCUGGCAGUCUCUCCUGGGUCUAGGGCUGUUCCUCUGAGGUCACGAGGUGGUCCUUCGGUUGGGAAGAUAAAACCAGCACGUGUAAUGUAAUACAUGACAAUGGAAGAUUCUACGUAAUUAAGGGUUAACUCUGAAAUCAGAAGACAAGUUUUCCAAGACUUGGGAAGGUGGAGAGAUCAGAGAUCAGUGAGAGAACAAAGAAUCGGGAGGUCACACGCCACCUGCGGAUGGAGGAGACACACGCAGACAAGACAGGCCCCCCGCCACUGUUGGCACACAGGACACCCACCCAGCCUAUGGUCCUGUCUGUGGUUGGACAACAUAAUCAGAAUAACAG